UACAGAGGUCUCAAGCGUUGUUCGGAUUCAUUGGGCGUAAAAGGGUGCGUAGGCGGCGCGGUAAGUCGGGUGUGAAAUCUCGGAGCUUAACUCGGAAAGGUCAACUGAUACUGUGCGGCUAGAGUGGCAGAAGGGGCAACUGGAAUUCUUGGUGUAGCGGUGAAAAUGCGUAGAUAUCAAGAGGAACACCUGCGGCGAAGGCGGGUUGCUGGGCUGACACUGACGCUGAAGCGCGAAAGCGUGGGGAGCGAACAGG
rnacentral:rRNA from 1 species